UGUUGCCAGCAUUUAAGGUGGGGACUCAGAUGAGACUGCCGGUGACAAACCGGAGGAAGGUGGGGACGACGUCAAGUCAUCAUGGCCCUUAUGUCCUGGGCUACACACGUGCUACAAUGGCCGGUACAGAGUGAAGCGAAACCGCGAGGUGAAGCAAAACGCAGAAAGCCGGUCUCAGUACGGAUUGGAGUCUGAAACUCGACUUCAUGAAGUUGGAAUCGCUAGUAAUCGCGCAUCAGCAUGGCGCGGUGAAUACGUUCCCGGGCCUU
rnacentral:rRNA from 1 species